rnacentral:lncRNA from 1 species
UUUUUUUUUUGGAAAAGCUUAUCAUCGUUACAAAUACAUAGUCUUAUGCAAAUUUAUACUAUAUAGUGGCAAGAUAGAUAAUACACAACACCGGAAACUGCUGCCCUCUAUGUAUGCCUUUUUUUAAUAUCAACGCAACAUUAUUUUUAUUCAUGAAAUAUAUUACUAAGAAAGAGUGUAUGGUGCAUGAUGAUAUCAUUACGAUUAGUUUCGAGUUUCGUCCUCAGUUUCCACGGCACCAUGACCACCGUGACCACGUCUACCGUGGUUGUGACCACCUCCACCACCAUUGUAACCCUCUCCGCCAUGGUUGUAAACAUGUCCACCUUUUUCAUGAACAUCACCAUCACCGUUGUUAGAAUCAUCACCGUUGUUAGAAUCACCACCGUUGUUAGAACCACCAACAUAGCCUCCAUCUUUGCCAUAAUUUAAGUCAGUCUGUUCAACACUAUCUGAAAAAACAAUAUAUAUUAAUCAUUAUAUCAUUAGAUAAUUAAAAAGGUUUGCUAAAUUAGAUAUAAAAAAAAUAUGGUCCAAGUUAGCAAAUAUGCACAUUUUUAUUUGGACAAAAAUAUCCUUCAUUUUUAUUAUUAAAAACUAAUAGUUUGAGGGUUACUUUAAUAUUUUUAUUUAAAACAUAUUUGUUACCCGACACCAAUUGCUAACUUAGACCCACUUUUAUUUUAUUACAAAUAAAUUAAGGGUCACUUUAGUACUUUUCAUUAAAACAUAUAUUUGUUAACUUGCAUCAAUUUGCUAACUUAGACCCACCUUUAUUUUAUAACAAAUAGCUUGAAGGAUAUUUAAUAUACUAUCACUUACAUUAAUUUAGUUUACACUAGUGGAUAUUUGCUAACUUGGAUCAAAUUGCACCGAUGUGAUAUAAUAUUUGAAUAAUUUACACUGCUUAAAAACUUCUUAUUGAAUAUAGAAUUAUAGCAAAAAAAAAUUUAAUAAAGAAUUAUAGCAAAUUUUAUAAGACUCACAAUUGAAUAUAUAAUUAUAUCAUAUGGAUCAUCUCUGUAAGUUAUAUAUGAAGCAAAUUUGAAAUCGUUUUUUAUAUAACAUUGAAGUGCAUGAAGAUUAACGUUUACAUAGAAAUGAAUUAAUUAAAAUGUAUAAAAUACAUAAUUAAGUAUAAAAGAAUUAUCCUUUAAAAAAGUAGAAAUGAAUUAAAAACAUAUGUCUAAAACGCUCACCCCAAUUAGGAUCCGUGGAAGUUUCGGAUAUCACUGAGGAAAUAAGAACCAUAGCCAAGAGGCCUAGCAUAAGGAUUGCCUUUUUUGAAACCAUUGUUCAAUAUCUGUUCAAAUUUGAUAUUUGGUAGUGAACGAUGAGAAAAGUAGCAAGAAGUGUGCUCUAUAUAUAAUGGAGGGAAGGAGUGAGAUGAUGUAGGGACAUUCACUUGCUAGUUGAGAAGGUAGCUAGUGUGUAAUAAUUCAUUGCUUUUUAGUUUCAUAAUGUACAUGGUCUAUAAUAUCGACCAGAUACAUCUUUUAUGCAAUUAAUCUAAAAAAUAAAAUUUUAUGUAUAAUAAUAAUCGGAUGAUGUAUAUAUUUAUAAAUUUUUAACUAAAAUAAUUGUUUGAUGAUUUUAAUAUCAUUUGUUUUGACUACUUCCUUUCUUUCAAAAUAAGUGAUCUAGUUGAUUGUUUUAAGCAAUUUAUAUAUGUAUAAACAAAAAAAUAUAUAAAAUUUGAUUUUUAAAAAUAUUUGUUGAAACAAAUCUAAAAAUAUCUUAUAUACUGAUAUUUCUCUUUAUAUGGUAGUAGAAAAAGAUUAUCAAAUAUAUUAUGUGAAUUGUGAAUAAUAGAGAAUCACUUAUUUCAUAAUAGAGAGAGUUGUAAAGACCAAAGGCUAUGAAAAAUUGAAAAUGGUGAUGAGGUAUGGCUACUUUCUAUUGGCUGAAAGUGACAUUUUGAAAGCAUACUAUUGGUUCAUACUAGCUAUCUCAUCCCAUGGAGAUACAUGCAUUCAACUUUAUCCAGACACAUUCAUAAUAUGUUUUCUAUAAGUAAUUUUAUUUUUUUUAGCAAAAGAGUAUUACGGAGGUACACUCUAUACUUGAACAUUCACUUAUUAUAUGUUUUCUAUAAUAAUUAAUAAGUGAACUCUAACCAAUAAACUCUACUUGAACAAAAACAAAAAACAUUUUCCUUAAUCAUAUUAUCUCCAUCAAUCUCAUUUUAUUAUUCGCCACUUUGAAUAUACUAUAUACAGAUACACUAAUAUUAUAGCCAUUCUCUAAAGGCUAAUUAUUUCUAUUCUUUUGGUGUUUUUAAGUAAAUUAGCUUUCGUGCUAGUAGCAUUCCAUUUAGCAUGUAAGUAAUUAUACCGGUGUAUGAGAACAAUUUCGUUUUUGACACUAUGCAUAUCUUGCGGUAUUAUGCUUUAAAAAUUUGCUUACAAAAAAAUAUUAAUAGCUAAUAAUGAUAUUUAUUAAAACCGAUAUUCUACUUUUUUUUUCAUUUCUCAUGUAUUUUUUUUAAUUUUCGUGAAAUCAUCAAAAAAAUAUGCUUUAAUUUGUGGGACAAAAAGAGCACUAGAUGAAAAAUAGGUUUUUGCAGCGUCCAAAAGCCUCCUCAAAAAACCUCCCUGAAAUAGGUUCAAGUUCAACCAUCCCGCUUUUAAACCUCCUCAAGCGUUUGCAUUUUUUUUAUGUUUUCAUAAUUAGUGUGAAAAAUAUAAAAAUAAUAAAUUUAAUAAAAAUUAGAUAUAUUAAAACAAAAAUUGUAGUAAGAGAGAAUUAAAAAACAACUUAAAAAUAAAAAAUGGUAAAACAAAUAUUUUAUAGUAAUUUAAAAUUAAAUAUAGAUUAAAUUUAAAAAGGGUUAAAUAUGUUUUUAAUCUCUACAAUAUCACAGAAUUUCUAGUUUAGUUCCUACUCCCUCCGUCCUAAUUUAUAAACAAAAAACACAAAUUCACACUUAUUAAGAAAACAAAAACAUAGUAGUUUGAGAUAUAAUUUUUUGUGUUUUUAUUGGAAUAAGUUUCAUGGAAAAAAAAUUGUGUAGAUUAAAUUUUUUGUGCCUUUAGAUGAAAAAAAAAUAUUGGAUGAUGAUUAAAAUAAAUUAGUUAGAUGAGAUGAGAGAGAAUGAAUGAGCCAUAGGUCAGACUCCCCUAACCAAGAACAAUGCCCAAAAGAGACAAAGCCAUCAUAGACCCGUACCUAGCAUAAAGGACAUCCCACCACAUAAUCAGGCUCUCCAAAAUAAUCAUCCAACAUUACUUACAAGCAUACUUAUAAAAUUCAAAAGAGGAAAAAAUACAAAAUACUUAUAAAUAAAUUCUCAUGAAUAAAGAAAAAUGAAAAAUAUUAUAUAGUUCACCCGUUUUGGUAUUAGAGGAAGUCUCAGUUAAGACCCUCGCUGAAACCCUAGAGGAAAUAAGAACCAUAGCAAAUAGGCCUAGAAUGAGGAUUGCUUUUUUUUGAAUCCAUUGUACUCAAGAGUAUAAAUAAACUACACAAAUCGGUAUUACAAAAGGGAUAUUUGGUAGUGAACAAUAAAAGAGAAUGUGCUCUAUAUGUAGUGGAGGUUGGGAGAUCAAUACUUGGUAGUUGGGAAGGUGGAAUAGUGCUCUAUAUUAAUUCAUUCUUAUCUUCAAAUUCAGAACUGUUUGUUUGUUAGUAAUUUUGAAACCAUUCAUUUUGAGUAUUAAGAAUCGGAGGCUACUUAAUUCGUUGAAAAAAUGAAGCAGUUAUUGUCUAUGCCAAGCCUACUUAAUUCGUUGAAAAUAACAGUAUUGAAAGUAUUGAAAAUAACAGUAUUGAAAAUAACAGUAUCAACCACAUACAUCAUUAAAUAAAUAAACCUAAAAAAUGAAUUUUGUUUAUAUUUUGAUACGGAGUGAGUACUUUUAAUUUUGAAACCAUUCAUUUUGAUAUUUGAGUGGUGAAGGUACAUUCCGAAUAAACACUCUAAACUCUAAACUUUUUUAUAACUUCAACAAAUGAUCUAUCUAUCACUCAAAUUAAAUUUUUAAGGGGUUCUAAAUUGACUAGUUUAAGUGUGAAGAACAAGAAACAUAUGAAUAUGCAAACUAAAAUGCAACAACAUAUUGAACAAGACUUUAAGCUCGGACAUGAGUAAAAAAUACACAACUAAAGGGUUCAAACUCACAUAUUUACUAGGUUAUUGUGAAUUUGGACUCAAAUCUUAAAAAAAAAAAAAAAUAGAUGUGAAGAGCAUAUAUCAAUGACAACCAACAAUCAAACAUUCUCAAGUUACACAACAUAUUUAAAUAUGUGUAAAGUAAAGCCACAAUCAAAGCAUGGAAUAAAGAUAAAAGAGAAGAGAAAUCAACAUAGGAAUACUAUUGUUUACCCAAUUUGCAUUGGUCCAAGAAUGAGCCACAUUUUGGGGAGAGAAAAUAUCUUCAAUCCACUAUCAAUGAUUCAUUGGAAAGAGAUACAGAGAGUUACAUGAAAUUAACUUCAACAAGAUCUUCGAGAGCAAACUUAAUUUCUACUAUUUUUCUACGUACACUCUUCCCUUGAACAAGAGAGUUACCAAGUGACCAAAAAAUUUAGCUUCCAAUGUUUUCCAAAAACAUCCCCUAAGAGGAGAUUAGUUUAUGAAUACGUUAUUUAAUUAUUCCAAUGUUUAUGAAUACGUUAUUUAAUUAUUAACUCUUGAAAGGAAGUCUCAAGUCACAACAAUUCGGGCACACCAUUUCGAAAUACACAUAUUCAUAAAAAGAUAGAAAGAGAAAAUAAUUAAAUAACGUAUACUUUUAAAAUAAUUAAGUAUUUCUUUGUGUUCAGUAUACAUCUCAACCAACACCUAUUGAUUCUUGUAUAAAUAAAAAUGGUGUCUAAGCCUAUCGCACAACGGACCCCUCUCAAACUAAUCACCCAACCAAAAUAGUGUCUUAGCUCCAUUGUCCACCACCCUCACCAAAUUGUCCUAGUAUCCUCGCAACCCACCGUUCAUAUUAACUAUGAGUAGUGAUAUAUGUACAACUCUUUGGUACAACUUUCAUGACAACUUUGGUUUUCUCUCUUUUGAUUGGUCAAAAAUACUAGAGAGAGAAAAAGGAAGAGAGAUAAUAAGAAGAUAAUGUGAGUAUGUGAGAGAAAGUUGUCAAAAAAUUGUUAGAAAAUGGUUGUACAAAUAUCAUUUCUCAUUAACUAUUAUUCAUCAAACUACAUGUUAUUUCUAAGAAAAAAUAAAAAAAUUAGUUUUUAUAUAUAUCUUUUAUUUGGCCAAUUAGCCUAAUGAAUAAAAUUCCACCCUAUUAAAAUGAAAAAAUGGAGAAGGUAGGAAAUUCAACCCCUAUAUAUAUAAUAUAAUAUCCAUGCCAACUGAAUAUGAAAGUCUUUUGCCAAUAUAUAUAUAAAUUAAUAUUCAACUACCUAACAUGUAUGAUUUCUCGAUAAAACAAUAUAUUAACAAAAUAUUAUAGUUUAUUUCAUUUAUUCUUGAUGAUGAGAAAUCAAUAAUAACAUUUUUAUUUAUUUAUAGAGAUAAUAUAAUAUCUCUAAACUAACAUAUAACUUAUUAAUUCAUCUUAAAUUUUAACUUAAAAUACAAUUCAUCAAUCUCAUUAAUAUUAUAGCAUGAGUCAUUAUACUAGUUUUUUUUUUUUUUUUAGUAAAGGUCAUUAUUGUGUAACCAAAAAAUAAAAGAAAAUAUUCUAUAUUAAAAUUUCAGAGCUGCCGUUCCUGUCACAAUUAAUUAAUUUUUCUUUUUAUAUUUUGAUAAUUUCAGAACUCCUUAAGUUCAAAUUGACAGCGAUGAACGAUAAUGAAAGACGCCCACUUAUUUUGAAUUUUUCAUACAAAUGUGUGGCUAGACGUGGCCAUAUAAUUUGUAUUCAUGCGUACCCAUCCGAACCCCGUUUCGAAUAUGAUUUGGACAACUUGAAUUGGAGCUAGACUUGGUUAAACAUAACCAUAAAUCUUUUAUCUAGAUACACACUCAUUAAUAACAAAAAGUAAAGGAGGAAAAAAUAAAUUUUAUUAUUAUUGAAAUUAAUGAAUAAAGUGUCGUGACGGAUUCAGAAAUGUUGACUUGUGGAAACAAAACUUUAUAUAAUACUCCCUCCGGUCCUAUUUACAAGAGAAAUUUGACUUUUUAAAUACAUUGAAUAAUGUAUGUAUCUAGUCAAGAACCUAAUCCAAAUACAUAAAUUAUUUAAUGUAUCUAAAAAGUAAAUUGUUUCUUAUAAAUAGGACCAGAGGGAGUAAAUAUUUAAAGAAAAUUUUUAAUAAUGCAAAAGUGAUAUAAUAAUAACAUCAUUAUCAUUGAGAAAAAUGCUCAAUAUUUAGAAAAAUUAAAGACUCGUCAACAUCUACAAAUUAAAAUUGUUUUUACGUGUCUUUAUAUUCAAAAAAUAUGGUAGAAAUUAAAUUUCAUCUCAAAUGCAUUUACGCAUUCGAUUUUAUGAAAUUCAUGAACAAAACUUUUUUUUAUGGUAUAAAUUUUAAUUUAAUUGAGGCAAUCUAUUAUUUUAAGAGAGAGCAACCAUUAAAAUAUAAAAAAUUUAACAAAUAUAACCAGAAGAGUAGUGGGGGCAGUUUCCCCCAUACCACUCUACCUAGAAUCGUGGUUGAUGAUGUGAUUGUUAAUGUGGUGUGCCUAAAUGCAAAAUAUUUAUUUUUGUUAUCAAGUAAGUAUUGACUCGGUUCGUAUUUUUUACGAUUUCAAAAGACGGUUGUGGCCUCGCCCGUAUCAAAAUUAUAUUAUUACCUCUCUUAAAUUAUAAACUCAUAAACAAAUUCCUAAAUUACAUUCAUACAUUAACUUUUAUUUUUAAGCUCAACCUUAAACAAGUCAUUUCCUCUACUUUUUUUUUUUAGAAAACCAUAUUGUUGAAACAACAUAGUUUUGAGCUUUUUUACUUAUUCUUAAUAGAAAAAAAGAUCAAAUGCCACUUUUGAUCCUUUUAGUUUAACAGAAUUCUCAAGUUAGUCCUUUAAAUUUCGAAAGUUUCAAUUAGGUUCUUUUGGUUUGACAUAAUUCUCAAGUUAGUCCUUUAAGUUUCAAAUAGGUCCUUUUAGUUGAUAAAUUAUUUCACUGUUACCGCUGCUGUCAGUCUCUGUUUAACUAAUGUUAAUGUAGCUGUAAGUUGUUGACUUGAAUCGAAAUGCUGCCUUUUAAUAGCUCGAGGGUGCAUGUCUAAACGCUACGUUUAAUGGUCACAAAUGAUCAUUUAUAGUGCUAAUAAGACAGCUAUUUACAACAAUAAAUGUCUUUCUAGCACUAUUAAACGACAUUUAUAAUACUAGAAUGAUCAUUUGUGACGAUUAAACGUAAUGUUUUGACUCACCGGAGCUUUUAAAAGACAACGUUUUGAUUCAAGUCAACAACUUAACGGCUACAUCAGCAUCAGCUAAUUAUUAACUGACAUGAGGGGGGUAACGGUGAAAUAGUUUAUCAACUAAAAGGACCUAUUUGAAACUUUUGAAACUUAAAGGACUAACUUGAAAAUUAUGUCAAACUAAAAGGACCUAAUUGAAACUUUUGAAACGUAAAGGACUAACUUGAGAAUUAUGUCAAACUAAAAAGACCAAACGUCAUAUUUGGCCUACAAAAAGUACAAAAGUUCACGUGAGAGAAUCGAACAACCCAAAAUGUUUUGUGAACCCUAUUUCUUGAUGAAUCCACGUGAUACACAACUCAGCAAGCCAUCAGAGCAUGCCUCAACGGAGAAAAACGCCGAUAUCUGCAUGGAAACCAACCCCAAAAGGGGUUAUCUUCCAAAAACUACCAGCACAAGGUCAUAGGUGUUCUGGAAUGAGGAUAAUGCGUAGGGGCAGCGCCUCUCAUCGCACCACCGCGCUAGCCGCUACAUCUAAAAGGAACAAAUUUGAAUGAGGGGAAGGCGUUGGAGAGGUGGUCGUUCAAGAGAGAAGCGAGAGAGUACUUUUUGAGAGAGAUAAGGGAGCAUCCUCCUAUCUUCCUAAAGUUACAUGCAUUUCUUAAUUUUGUCUAACAUCCAAUUUACCCUCUAUACCGUAGAUUUUUUUAAAAUACUCCCUCCGGUCCUAUUUACAAGAUAAAGUUGAUUUUUUUGAUACAUUGAAUAAUGUAUGUAUCUAGUCAAGAACCUAAACUAAAUACAUAAAUUAUUUUAUGUAUCUAAAAAGUAAAUUGUCUCUUGUAAAUAGGUCCGAAGGGAGUAUUUACUUUUUUUUGAACAAAGUAAAAUGAGACAUAUAUUAUAAACAAUGGCGAUUUACCGUGCACAAGACAUGCAAAAGGUAAACCGACCAAUCAAAAUACAACAGUAGGGUGCUAAUUUAGAGUAACACCGUAAAAAAGUUACAAAAAAACUACACAAAAACACCCAUGCAGGGAAGUGGGUGUUUCCACCAGUCAUAAUAAGAAUAAAUAAAAGAUAUAUGCGAUGAUUUCAGCCACAUAAACGAGUUCAGCUUCACUUUUUCAGCUAAAGAAGAAGGAUCACAAACCGUUUCUUGGAACACACGGUUAUUUCUUUCCUUCCAAAUGACCCAAGCAGAAGCGAACCAUAUUACUUUCAGAUAAUAAUGAGUGGCUCUAGGAAAGCCGGCCAAAUUAGAAAAUUGUGUAAAAUGCCGCCGAAUAUCACCUGGAAACACCACAGAUAAACCUAACCAAUGCAAAAUAUGAUCCCAAAGCGUACUAAAAAUAUUACAGACACAAAACAAGUGAUUUGCGGUUUCAUAGGCACCACAACCUGACACACAAACCGAGUUAGCUAACAGAAGAACACGCCGAUGAACCAAGUUGUCUCUAGUGGGAAGUCUAUUCCGAAAAAGGCGCCACACAAAUAGUGACACCUUAGAGGGUAUGCUCUUAUGCCAAACAUCUUCAACCAGAGUCUUAUCCACCACAUUACCAUUAUCAGUGAGAAAACGAUAAGCUUCCCGUACCGUAUAACCACGGAUAGGAUCUAACAACCAAAUCCAAGAGUCAUGAACAUUAACCUGCAAAACGACAUUAGAAAGUAACAUAGAACAUUCCUUCACACUUUCCUCCUCCCACGCCAAAAGUCUCCGGCUCCACUCCCACCCCCACCUCCAACCUCCCAACCGUCCCUACUCAUGUCCUCCACCGUACACUCUUUGCGUAAAAACAAAUCAAAAAGACGGGGGAAUUUACAACAUAAAGGUGUAUCCCCCAACCAAUUAUCAUACCAAAAUAAAGUAUCCCUACCAUCUCCUACCCUCCUACGAAUGUUGUCAUCAAACCACCUCCCAACACCCUCACCUAACCCCUCCCUAAUCCUACACACUGACCGCCACCACGGAGAAUCGAGGUGUCCUCCCUCCUCCAACCGUCCCCCUAUCUCACCAUAGCGGGCUUUAAGUACUUUAUACCACAUCCCCUCCUUUUCAUUCAACAUCCUCCAACACCACUUCCGCACCAACGCCAAAUUAAAAGCUCCCAUCCUCCUCACCCCCAACCCUCCGUGCUCCUUUGGAGUACAAAUCGACUCCCAAUUUAUCCAAGCAAUUUUCCUAGAGUCCUCACCCCCACCCCAAAAAAAAAAUUAAAAAUAGAUUCAAUAGAGGAAAUUAUACCUGCGGGGGCUUUGAAAAAGGAAAGAAAGUAAACAGGAAUGGAAGACAGAACAGAUUUCAGAAGAACCAAGCGGCCGCCAAAAGAAAGGAAUUUAUUACUCCACAAGGACAGGCGCGAAACAAUUCGAUCGACAACAGGUUUCCAAAAACUAAGUUUCCUUGGAUCACCACCAAUAGACAACCCUAAAUAGACAAAAUGGAUAGUUCCCCUUCGACAAUUCAUAACCAACGCCGCUUCAGUCAACCACGAAUCCGAAACAUUCACACCCGUCAACAUGCUUUUAAGAAAAUUUACCUUCAACCCCGAAAUCUUUUCAAAUAAUAGCAAGACGGACCUCAUGGUUCUGACGUUCAACCAACUUUUCUCUCCAAUAAUAAGGGUGUCAUCCGCAAACUGCAAAUGAGUUAAAUAAACAUCACCUGAUCGACCAACUUUGUACCCUGAAAACAUAUUAGCAUCAACCACCGCUUUCAUCAACACAUUGAAACCUUCUGUAACCAACAAAAAAAGAAAAGGUGAUAAAGGAUCUCCUUGUCGAAGGCCCCUCUCAAUAGGAAACUCAUUCGCCGGGCUACCAUUAACCAAAACUGAUGUUGUUGCUGUCCCAACACAUUCAUGAAUCCACUUCCGCCAGAGUCUCGGAAAAUUCAUAUUCUCCAUUACCAUGUCCAGAUACCUCAGAUCAACUGAAUCAUACGCCUUUUCGAAGUCAACUUUAAACAACAACAGUUCUUUAUUCAUCCUCUUAGCUUCAUCCACCGCUUCGUUAGCUAUCAAAAUACUGUCAAGAAUCUGUUUCCCCUGAAUAAAAGCCGACUGUGACUCUGACACAACAUUACCCACUACUAAACGGAGACGAUUGGCGAGGACUUUAGCUAGCACCUUAUACAGACAGCCCACUANAGAGAUAGGCCGAAAAUCAUGGAGUCUUUGCGGACUAUUAACUUUUGGAAUUAAAGCUAUAAAAGUUGAGUUUAUACCUUUUGUAAGUUUCCCAUUCCGAUGGAAAUCUACCAAAAACCUCAUAAAGUCAUCUUGAAGCAAAUCCCAAAAUUGUUUGAUGAAACCAAAAUUGAUGCCAUCAGGCCCUGGGCUUUUGAAGCUAUCACAAUCCCACACCGCCUGUUUCACCUCCUCAACUGAAAAAGGUUUUGUCAAAUUCCCAACCUGAACACCAGUUAAUUUUCGAAAAAGAAGAUUCUCCACACCCCACCGAUUAGCCGCACUUGAUUUAAAGUGAGAAGAGAAAUGAUUAAAGACCGCAUUCCGAAUAGCUUGAACACAUUCCAAAUUAACCCCAUCGACAGACACACACCUAAUAGCAUUGUGACGCCGUUUAGCAGACAUAACUCCAUGAAUUUUUUUUGAAUUUGCAUCUCCUUCCUUCAACCACUGCAAUCGAGAAUUUUGCCAGUGUACACUAGUCUGAGUUCGAGCCAAAGAAUGGAGAUUCACAGAUAAAUCACGUAAUUCCAGCACCUCAUUUUCCUGAAGUUCCGACAACUCUGCCUUUGUAUCUAAAAUGGAUAAUUUAUUUUUUACCUCCGACUUCCUUCCAUCUAAAUUCUUAAUAUGCUAACACUUUAGGUGAAAAAAAAGAUUAUACUUUUAUGUUAAAAAAUAAUUUAAAAAUAUUUUUACAUUGUCAAUUAAUAAAGUAAAAAUAUUAAAAUUUGAUUAAAAUUAUUUUUAAAUUCAUAUACAUGAUUGCUUGUGAUUAUUUAAAAAUAGUAAAAAAAUAAUAGUUCAACCGUAUAGUGAAAUUAAACUAAAAAAAAGGUGUACCGCAAUAAUUUCAUUCUCCACCUUUUAUUGAUUUUGUUUUUUCCGGCCCCUCCCACCAUUUAUUUCUGGCUCCACCCGACAAUCAAUUUGUGUCGAGUGUUUAAUCUACACAAUUUUUUUUAUUAUCUACAUUUAUUUAUUUUUUAUUUCAUUAUUAUUUAUCAGUUAAUAAAUACUUCCUUCGGUGUCCCCGUGAGCUUAGCUCAGUUGGUAGGAACAAAUGCAUAAUAUAUGCAGGGGCCAAGGUUCGAACCUCAGAUACACUACUUCUUCACAUUAAAUAUGUGUGAGCUCCAGCCACUAGGCUACCUGACCAAAAAAAAAAAAUACUCCCUCCGAACAUACUUAUAAGAAAUACUAGAAAUCCGACCCGUGCUGACGUCAUAUAACAAUAAAUCAUAAAUCAUACAAAUAGAAGAAAUUUAAUUCCGUUCAAUCAUACAAAGUACACGAUUUAGGAUACAUUCCAAGUCAUACAUAUUAAUAGAAGAACUUUAAUUUCGUUCCAUCAUACAAAGUACACAAUUUAGGAUACAUUACAAAAAACUUCAUGAUAAACAACAUUAGACAUUACAUUAGUGUCUUCACGAUCAUCACAAUUUUGUUUGUUUUUUGGAAACUAAUGCUUCUAAGUUGCAAAGAAAUUGAUGGUUCUUAUCUUACUAUUAUUUUGUUCCCAAUUUGUAAGGUGUUCAACUAAUCAAGCUCAAACCUUAUAAGAGUGAGGUUCAUGGUGUUUUGUUAAAACUUGAAUAUGCAAUUAACAAUGACGGCCCUUUUAUGGUGGUGUUAUUUUAUUAAUAUUUUGACGGUGAUUUAUCAUAGUAAGUGCAACAGAGUGUGAUAUAUAUAUAUAUAUAUAUAUGAGGAUGUAUACUAUGAGAAUGAGUAUUUUAUAUGAGAAUGAUGAGAAUAAUUAUCAAUCAUCAGAUUAAAAAUAAAAGGUUGCGAUUAAAAAUUCUUAUUUAAACAACCCAUGUGCCUCACUUACACUUAGUGUAUCCACAAUACUCAUUCAGCUACCCAUUCAUCGCUUCAUCUUCUUCAAAAUCUCCAUUUUCUGCAACUUUUUCAUCUAUCAAAUCUUCAUUGUAAUUUCUUUCUGCAAACAAAUCCAUAGAAACAUCUCUUUCAUCAACCCAAACAACAUUUUUUGUGUUUGAGAUGUGAAUUGAGGUUUUUGUUUGUUUUUCAAUCAACUUCAAUUAAGUGUAUUCCUGUUUCGAAUGAAUUUCAAAUUUUUGAUUUCAAUCGGAACUCUUGUUUUUGGAUUUUCAAACUGUUGUAUUUGGAUUUCCAAAAUCUAUUAUCUACCGAAGUUGUUACUAGGUUGAGUCGCGACCAGGUCGCUCUCUUUAAGACGUUUCGCGGCACUGCCCAAAAUUGUGCAAGGCAGACUAUCAACCACGCCGCCUCCAGAAUAAAACAAGCCCAGCUACUACUGUUUGAUUAACUAAUGCACUGUAGAAAAUCGUUCGAGAAUUACACCUCCAAAUAUGGUGCUAAGACCACUCUUUAAUACUGAAACCACUUUAAUAUGGUAUUGUUACCACUCUGUUAUGGUGCUGAGACCACUCAAAUAUGGUAUUAACACCAUUCUAACUUUAAGUUCUCCAAACUAUCAAUAUGGUACUACGACCACUCAAAUAUGGUGAUACCACCAUUUCUCCUCAAAUAGAAAAAUAUUGAAAUACUUUUUAUAUAUACCCUUAAGAUCAUUAUUAAUUCCGACGGAACAUUGUUAUUCCAAAUAGGGACUAUGAUCUUAAAAGUACUCUUUAUUCUGAAGGGACAUAUAUUAUCGAAGAGAUUAUGUUUUAAGACCAUUCUUAAUUCCGAAGGGACAUUAAACCGAAAAGGGACUAUGGUCUUAAGAACAGUCUUAAUUCCGAAGGGACAGAAAGGAGUAGAAAAAGGAGAAUGACUUGUCAACACAAGUCGAAUGAGGGAGAAGAGAGGAAAAACACAGAAAACAUCAACUGUGAAUUUCGGUGUGUUUUUGAACUAAGUGGAGUCCUCUAUUUAUAUAGAGAUUCUGUAACUGUUUUAGCAAAAAUUGCGACAACAGUUACUCUAAUGGAUAAGAUUAAAAUGAAGUUUAUCCAUUAAUCAGUUCAACAACACUUGUGAAUAGGAUGAAAAGAAACAAAUCCACAAAAGUGGAGGAAACAAACUAUUGGAUUUGAAUGAAGGAAAUAUAAUAAUAAUUAAAUUAUUAUUCUUAUCACAACCACCAUAAGCUAAAUUUAUGUAAAGUGAUAUUCUCGAAUAAAUUAAUAAUUAAUAUUAUUUUUAUCAUUACCAAGUAUUUAAAAUUAAAUACCACAAUUUAAGCACUACUAAUGUGUGUGUUCUAUUUUAUGUGAGACCCCCACACUCUAUUUUUUCAAUUCACACAACAUUAGAUCAUAGUAUAAUUACUUGGUGUUUAAUCUUCCAAUUUUUUAUCCAACAUCACAUCAAUGUUCCAACAAUUCCCCACUUGAAUUUUAAAAAUGGUUUCAAUAAUAACGUCAAAACGUUUCUAUAAGGUUGCUAAUAAACAAAGGUGUCGCCUACAACUUGAACCUUUGCAUAGCGGAUAAUAUUCUGAUUUAACAAGAGUUGCUUACAGCAUUGAACUCUAUCUCAGACAUAGAACCCACACACAAACCUUUUCCUAAGGUGUAUUCUAAAAGCUCGUGCGUUUUAUGGCCUUGCACGUCUAUCCCGGUUUUAACGAACGUUCUAGGUAUUCUGCCCCGAAUACCAUAGGAAUCGGCCUAAGUUCCACAUUCGUAUAGGUGAGUCUAUCAAGAGUACUCCUGUAGCUAGGUACUCCACUCCACAUAGAGUAUAGAUCUCAUUAAGAGUUUCUAUUAUCUCAUCCUUAUGUCACUGCAGGAAUCAUGCUUUCUUACUUUUCUCAUGCAUGUUCUUUCACUCAUGACUUGUCAUUACCCAUUGAACCUAUUUCUUGGGAUCUCCAAUCAUGUAGGUCGGGUUACCAUUACUAGUGACCUUUGGGCAUUAGUCCCAUAUUCCUAUUGGAUGUGUUUAGGACUUUUUUUCUAGUAAUUCCUUUCGUCAAAGGAUUGACUAAUUCUUUAUUUGUACGUGCACGAUAUACUUUAACCGUUCCUUUUAGAGCUCUCUAAUUAUUCUGUGUUCGUGCCUUAAUUAUCGUUUCUCACCAUUGUGGUAAUGAUUCUCAAUUUUGUAAUAGAUGCAAACUAUCACAAUAAAUUAACACUUCGGACAACGGUUUCACCCACUGAGGGUUCUUAGCUAGCAAGCAUCUUAUCAACUUGCUUCUUCACUAGUUUUCUCUAGUGUUCUCAUCUCAGAAUCAUUCCAUAAUAUCAUUUGUUUCAACAAAUAACUCCUCCAGUGAUGCUCAAUUGGCAGUCACUGGUCGCUUUGAGACUCAUCUGAAGGAUGUUCAAUUUUUUUUUUUAUCUUGUACUACUCAUGUACAAUAUGAUACUUCUCAUUUGUAUCUUGUAACAUUCAAGUACAAUAGGAUACUUCUCAUAAUGUAAUCCUAGAGUCAUAAUCUUCUUAAGGCACCUCAUGACUCUUUCAAUAGCAUGACAAUGCUUCUCAUCUGUCUACUAGUAAACUUGAACAAAAGUCUUACGACGUGGCCAAUGUCGAGUCUAAUACAUUCAAUGGCAUAUAUAAAGACUGCCAAUGAUGCUUACCCUCAAGUGUUCUUGAAAAGCUUUACACUUGCAAGUUUAUAGUCAAAGAAUUACAUUUCCUUAAGAUAUUCUCAACUUUGUGAGAUUCAUCAGAAAAGUUUUCUUUUUUGAUCUAGUAAUCUUGAAACCAAGAAUUACUUCACCUUUGUCUAGGUCUUUCUUAUCAAUGUUGUUGAUAAACAAUGAUUUCACAUAAUUCAUAACAUGAAUCUUUAAACCAAAUAUGAGCAAGUCGUCUUCAUAGAGACAUAUGAUCGUGCAAAUAUUAUUUGUCACUUUCAUUCACUUUAUACUCAUUCGAUAGCAUUAGAAUGUCAAAUUUUUCAUGUCAUUCUUUAAGAGUUUAUUUUUUACCUCACAAAGAAUUAUCUAACUUACAAAACUUGUUUUCUAGUCCAUGAAUCACAAAACCUUCAGGUUGUUUAAUAUAGACUUCUUCUUCUAGUUCACCAUAAAGAAGGCAACUUUCACAUCUAUUUGGAAUACUAUCGAGUUAUGAACGGCGGCAAAAGGGACUAGUACUCUUAUGGAUAUGAUACUAGUGACUGGUGAAUAAGUGUCGAAGAAUACUAUAUUUUUCUGUCUAAAACAUUUGACUACAAGGAGAGCCUUGUAUUCAUUGAACCGUAUCAUCAGGUUUUAGUUCUUUUUCCUAAAAUCCAAAUACAACCGGUUAGUUUGCAACUAUGAGACAAGUCAACCAAGUGUCUUGUUUUGUUAGACUCUAGAAAAUCCAUUUCAUCAUUUAUUGCUUCUUGCCAUAAUUCAGCAUCCAAUAAGGAUAUAGCUUCUUUAAGGCUUAAUGGAUAUUCUUCCAAUGUAUAAACCGAGUUCAUACUCUUUAGCUAUUCUAGCUUUCCUACCUCCUCGAGGUUCUAUAACAUCUGGUACGAUGUUUUCAUAACUAUUUAUGAUUACAUGAAUGUGAUCAAAUAUAGUGCCCCCACUAGUUCUUAAUUUUUAGAAGGGAAUUUAUUUUGCCCCCAAUAAUGUUGUGCUCCCACUAGUGCCCCCACUAUUCUUUAGUUAAAGGGGUAAAUAUAUUUCCAUAGAAAUCGACAUCUUUUAAUUCUAUGAUCACUUUAGCAUUUAAGUCAUAAACUUAUAUGCUUCGCUGUUUAUAGCAUACCUAAUGAAUACACAUUCAUAGGCUCUACUAGUGAGUUCAACUCUCUUGGGAUUCAUAGUCAAAAUAUAGUCCAGACAAUCCCAAGUUAAAAAAUAAGACAAGUUGGAUUGUCUUUUCUUCAAAAAUUUCUUAAUUAGAAUUUUUGUUCUUAGACUUGGGUACUCUAUAAAUUUCAAUUUUCGUUAUAAAAAUUGAACAUAUCAAGCAUAUCAAUUUUAUUUUUCAAAAUUCACAGUCAUCAAUAAAUAUGAUAAAAAUAUCCUUUCAUCAUUUCUACUUUAUGUGCCAUCAAAUUCACACAUAUCAUAAUUUAUUAUGUUUAGAGAUUUAUAUCUCUAAAUUCUGAUUUAUAUGAACUUUUGGUUCAUAUAUCUUGACUGCAAUAAAUAAAAUUGUCUAAUCAUAUAACUUUGGAAUUAAAUCCAAGUUACUCAAGUUUAAAAUUAAACGUUUGUUCACAUGACAAAUUUUGAUAUGUCAAAUAUUAAAAUCACACAACUAAUAAAAUAGAAGGAAAAUUUAUUUUGAACAUACCAUCAAGGACACAUCUUUUCCCACAAUAAUGCAUGAUGCACAAAUCUUUCUUUAAGUUUGAGCUAACUCAGUCUUAUUCAAUAGAAAUCUGAAAUUCAGAUUCUUUCUUAUUUUAAAAGCAUGCAACAAGUUCCAAACCUUAACAUUAGCAUCAAGGGAAAAUGGGUAUUCUAAAUUCUUGCAUUUUAAUAUGCUAACUUGCGACUCUGUAUACCCAACAAUAUGCCAUAAAAGUACCUAUAGCAUUUAUAUAAGGGAACUUCUACGGUACACUCACAAAGUGAGGUGUACCGGUACUCUUGCUCAAUAAUUUUAUAAAUUAACGAUCAUUUUUUGUGAAAUAAAUAACUAUUUAUCAACAUUUAUAUUUUAUAGAACAUUAUUUCAUAAGAAAAAACAUCAUUGCAUUGUUUAUAAGAAUUUUAGUAAUAUUUUUACAUAUUAUCGUAAAAAAAUAAUCAAUGUUCUCGAUUAUGGGUGAUAAAAAUUCAAAAAAUAUUAAUUUUAAUUCGUUGACACUUUUGAUGAAUAAGAUUUAGUUAUUAUAAUUAUAAAUGAUAAAAAAAUAAUUUUUUUUUAUCAAAAAACAACUCAUUUAACUAUUAGUUUAAAGAGUGGAUGUACCGGUACACUCAAAUAUAUUGGAUGUACCAUAGAAUUUCGCUUUUGUAUAAUUCGUUGCAUAAGUAAUAAGUUAUGGCCAUUCUUCUUACUGUUUGAAAAAACUGACAUAGAUUUUUCAAUUCUGGUUACUGUUUUAGUGACAAACUAAACUUGUUUGGUUCUAUAACGAAUAAUUUGUUUUGUAACAAAUUAUAGUCUUAAUCAAAUAUUGUUCGAUUUUUUAUUUUAUUCACGGUAUGAUUUUGAUUUUUGAAAACAAAUUUCAAUCAAAUUCAGAGUCACAUUAGUGAAUUUCUUAGUGUUAUUGUUUAUAACUACAAUCACUUUUUCAGUCAAAAGAUGUAUUUAUAUAGUUUGACACAUUAUUUUUGGAUUUCCAAACUGUUGUAUUUGGAUUUCCAAAUUCUAUUAUCUAACGAAGUUGUUACUAGGUUGAGUCACGACCAGGUCGCUCUCUUUAAGACGUUUUGCGGAACUGCCCAAAAUUGUGCAAGGCAGACUAUCAACCACGCCGCCUCCAGGAUAAAACAAGCCCAGCUACAACUGUUCGAUUAACUACUGCACUGUAGAAAAUCGCUCGAGAAUUACACCUCCAAAUAUGGUUCUAAGACCACUCUUUAAUACUGAAACCACUUUAAUAUGGUAUUGUUACCACUCUGUUAUAGUGUUGAGACCACUCAAAUAUGAUGUUAACACCAUUCUAACUUUAAGUUCUCCAAACUAUCAAUAUGGUAAUACGACAACUCAAAUAUGGUGAUACCACCAUUUCUCCUCAAAUAGAAAAAUAUUAAAAUACUUUUUAUAUAUACCGUUAAGAUCAUUCUUAAUUCCGACGGGACAUUGUUAUUCCAAAUAGGUACUAUGAUCUUAAAAAUACUCUUUAUUCUGAAGGGACAUAUAUUAUCGACGAGACUAUGUUUUAAGACCAUUCUUAAUUCCGAAGGGACAUUAAAACGAAAAGGGACUAUGGUCUUAAGAACACUCUUAAUUCCGAAGGGACAGAAAAGGAGUGAAUAGGCCAAAAACCCCCUGAAAUUGUAACUUUCGUCAAAAAUCCCCCUGAUUUUUAAGAAACUUCAAAAACGCCCCUGAAAUUAUCAAACGUCAGUCAAUUACCCCCCUCCGUUUGUUUUGGCUGUUAAAUGACUAUUUUUUAAUUUCUUUUUGCUUUCUUCAUCUUCUUCCUUCCACUUUUUUCAUCAUCUUCAUCAAUAUUCAUAAAAAAAUCCAGAAAAAUUUUAAGAAACAACAACCAUUAACAACAUCAUCAUUAACAUCACACACUUUAUAAUGAUUCUCUCUCUCUUGUUUGUUACCUUCUUGAAUUAAUCAACAACAACCUUUUGGAAUUCAUCAACAACAAAAUGAAUAAUAGAAAAGAUCAUGAACUUGUUUGAAAAAGAACAAGGUUUAUGAUGAAUAGCAUGGACAACAACAUCAACAGCAACGGUUCUUCUCAUUCUCAUGAUGUUACUGUUCCAUCAUCACUCAUGUCUCCUCUUCAGAAUCAAUCACUUUUUAACCCUCAUUCAAAUGGAUUUCUUUUUUGGAGCAGCGAUGAGAUUACCAACAACAAUGAUCAUCAUCAUCAAUUGUCUCUUGAUCUUUCUGCUACGACCCUUUUGGAUAACAAUGAGCAACAAACAAGAGAAGCUAGUAAUGAGAUGAUGAUGAUGUUGUUAAUGGUUGCUGUUUCUUAAUUUUUUUCUGGAUUUUUUAUAAAUAUUCAUGAAGAUGAUGAAAAAAGUGGAAGGAAGAAGAUGAAGAAAGCAAAAAAAUAAAAAAUAGUCAUUUAACAGCCAAAACAAACGGAUGGGGGUAAUUGACUAACGUUUGGCAAUUUCAGGGGGGUUUUUGACGAAAGCUACAAUUUCAAGGGGGUUUUUGCCUAUUUACUCGACAGAAAAGAGUAGAAAAAGGAGAAGGACUUGUCAACACAAGUCGAAGGAGGGAAAAGAGAGGAAAAACACAGGAAGCAUCAACUAUGAAUUUCGGUGUUAAAAUGAAGUUUAUCCAUUAAUCAGUUCAACAACACUUGUGGGUAGGAUGUAAAGAAACAAAUCCACAAAAGUGGAGGAAACAACUAUUGGAUUUGAAUGAAUGAAAUAUAAUAAUAAUUAUAUUAUUAUUCUUAUCACAACCAACAUAAACUAAAUUUAUGAAAAGUGAUAUUCUCGAAUAAAUUAAUAAUUACUAUUAUUUUUAUCAUUACCAAAUAUUUAAAAUUAAAUACCAUAAUUUAAACACUACUAAUGUGUGUGUUCUAUUUUAUGUGGGACCCCCACACUCUAUUUUUUCAAUUCACACAACAUUAGAUUAAAAUAUAAUUACGAUAUUUAAUCUUCCAAUUUUUCAUCCAACAUCACAUCAAUGUUCCAACAUUUACCAUUGACACGCCAAAAUAUAACUGUUAUAUAAACGAACAUUUCUUUGGUUUUGUUAUACAUAGAUAAAACAGUUAUUUCAUAGUUAAGCAUGGUUGCAAAGCAUUUGCUUUUAAUAGCAGAAAAAAUAAUCAUAUAAUAAGGAACGUCGACCAAUAUUACAUUACCAAAACUUAGAACUCAUCAUAUUAUCUAAUUUAUCUGAAUCUUAUUGCCCUUUUAUAUUUUGUAAAACAAAAGUUUAAGAUGCAAGAACAAAUCUCUUUAAAAAUUAUAAGCAAUUAUAACAUAUGGUAAAAGUAACAAAAACUUUAUAAUUAUAUUAAGCAUGAAGACUCGUACAUAUUGAUUGAAUACAUAGUUCAAUACUGAAAAGAAAAAAAACUAAAAGCACCACAUAAUAGAUCCUUUCAGAAUUUAAAACGCAAAUUGAUACGAAGCUGACAGAUUUCGUAAAUUCCAUUCAUCUUUUUCAAACACGCAUACGACUAACAUAGAGAGUCUUGUUGAAGCCGGGAGCUGGAGCACCGAUCUUUAUCGUUUCACCCUGCUGAAUUCUUCAUGCAUCUACCAUCCUUUUCAACUGAAGCAAGAUUAUUAUGGGAGUAAUGGCUAUACCAGUGAGGAAUUGGUAGGAGAGCAAUGCUAGGAGUGGACGAUCUCCCAUGCUUGAAACAGGUAUGUUACGAAUUUGCUUGGAACAAUGGCAAAUCAAGCUGCUCACGCAACAUGGCUUAUAUAGUGCAAGCAUGGACAUGCGAAAGAGGGAGGGGUUUAAAUCUGCAUAGAGAAGCCGAACUGUUAUGUUUGGAAAAUGUAACAGAUGAUUGAAUUGAAUUGAAUGUCUUAAAUGCAAUGGAAUUUACAUGGCUCGGCUGAACUGAAGGGUUGAGGGUGGGAAACUUCAAUUUCAUAGUGCAAUGCUGAUUAAGAAAAACACUUAGUGGGAAAUAUGAAUUGCGGCUAUAAUGGGAAUUAAAUAACCAAGAAAUUAGUGUUAGGGGAAACUUCAGUUUUUCCUUUUCAUUACAUUGUAACUUACAAAAAAUAGUUAAUAACUACAAAAUGAGAAAUAUGAUUUGCGGCUUGUCAUACCUCAUAUUUGAUUCCGAGUCGGGCUCUCUUCUCUCAAUUAUUCUAUUUACUACUUCUAUUUUUUAAACUUCCAUCUUUUAUUAAUUUUCUUUUUAAUUCUAAAUUGAAUUUUAGUCCCUUGGUCUUAUUUAUCUUUUUAUUUUCCCAUAAAAAUCCAAAAAUAUACAUGUUCAUUCCUUUUUAUUAUUUUUUAAGUGAUAAGUCCAAAAGAAAAGUCCCAAACACAGCUCACAAACAGCUAAUCCCAGCCUGUAAUGUCUCCUCUCCAAGCAACAAAAUUUUGCUCUAUAAAUACAAGCAACCCAUAUCGCAACCAAAUCAAAUCCGUACAAAACCGAACCUCAUCAACAAACCUACACAGAUCCAGAUCAAGAAAAAAAAACAAUAAAAAGGUAGUAACCCUUUUUGUAGAUCUAGGGUCCGUUAAACCUCAUUUCAAAAAACCGUUUUCAAAAAAGAGAGGAGAAGGGAAAGGGUAAUCUUUUGGUAAAAAAAAUCAAAAAAAGGAGGAGUUUUUAACUCCGGCGCGGUGGCGCCGCCGCGAAAACUCGCCGACCACCGCGCCGGAACUAUCUCCGGUAGCCUCUCCUCGUCGAAGAAGAUGAAGAAAUUCUAGAGAGAAGGCAGAGCUUCUCUCUCUAGAAAUGAGAGAAGAGAGAGAAAAAGAAAUAAAAAUGAACAUAAAAAACCGGAGCUGGCUAUUUAUAAAGGGAUUGAACCGGUUCAACCUUUAAACCGGUCUGAACCAGUCUAAUCCAAGCCCACACGCGUCUGGCCUCACCCAAGGCCCAAAUCCUCUUCAUUUUAUUUUCUGCACCCCCCUUUACUGCUCACACACCCUCAGCAUCUCUUUUUUUUUUUUUAAUUUCUUUUUCAUGCAUUUUAAUUCUCUCUCUAUCCAGAUUGCUCUGGUCCUAUAUUAACUGUUAAUAUUAUAUUUUUGUUUAAUUUAAUUAUUCUCUAGAACAAUCUGGUCCUUGUUAAAAUGAACAUAAAAAAGAGAGAAGAGAGAGAAGAAGAAAUAAAAAUGAACAUAAAAAACCGAAGCUGGCUAUUUAUAAAGGGAUUGAACCGGUUCAACCUUUAAACCGGUCUGAACCAGUCUAAUCCAAGCUCACACGCGUCUGGCCUCACCCAAGGCCCAAAUCCUCUUCAUUUUAUUUUCUGCACCCCCCUUUACUACUCACACACCCCCAGCAUCUCAUUUUUUUUUUUAAUUUCUUUUUCAUGCAUUUUAAUUCUCUCUCUAUCCAGAGUGCUCUGGUCCUAUAUUAACUGUUAAUAUUAUAUUUUUGUUUAAUUUAAUUAUUCUCCAGAACAAUCUGGUCCUUGUUAAUUAAAUUAAUCCAGAGUGCUCUGGUCCUAAUUAACUGUUAAUAUUAUAUUUUUGUUUAAUUUAAUUAUUCUCCAGAACAAUCUGGUCCUUGUUAACUAAAUUAAUCCAGAACAAUCUGGUCCUUGUUAAUUAAAUUAAUCCAGAGUGCUCUGGUCCUAAAUUAACUGUUAAUAUUAUAUUUUUGUUAAUCCAGAGUGCUCUGGUCCAAACUUAAAAUGUUAAUAUUUAUUUAUUUUUGUUUAAUUUAAUUAUUCUCCAGAAUAUUCUGGUCCAUGUUAAAAUAACUUCACAAUUCAGCUUAACUUCAUUUUUCUCAUUCUGCUUAUAUAAUUUUCAUAUCUUUAUUCCAAAACAACAAAAAUAUUCAAAUAACAAAUCACAAAAAUAUUUUUUCAUUACAAACCUUGAUUCUCAAAUCAAGUGAUCGUUCUUUUUAUUCUUCUUAAUCAAAUUUCAAAUCAAGUCUAAUUCAACUUCAAGUCAAUUUCUUUCAAUCUAAAAAACACAAACCAAUUCUCAUUCGUCACUUGGCUUUUUAUUUCAAAACCUUUUUCAAAACAUAUAAAAAACACAAAACCAAUCAAACGUCAAUUUCUACCCCGAACUACGAGGUUUUGAUCCCUCACAGGUACGUAGGCAGGGGACCUUGUCCUUCCAAAUGAAUUAAAAAACAAUUUUCUUUUUUUUUCUUUUCAACUUUCAACUAAAAAAUAUUUUUCUUUUUUUCUCUUCAAUUAAAAUCAAUUUUCUUUUCUUUUUCAACUCAUCAUUCAAUUCCAUUUUCCAUCUCUUUAAAAGCAAGCAAGUUGUAGCACCAAAAGUUAAAUAAAAUCAAGAGGUUCUCGUAGAGUACUAUGAAUAUUUAGGGUGCUAAUACCUUCCCUAAAUAUAACCAACCCCCGAACCCUAAAUCUUUUCAAAAUGGAUGGUUUGGAACUUUUUCCCCUUAAAAAAAAAUUUGUUCAGUCGUGAGAUAAAAAGUGAGUCAAAAGUCAAUCAAAUGGCCUUGACGUCCGAAAAAUGGCGCGACACGGCUGUAAUGAGAAUUAAAUAAGCAAGAAAUUAGUGUUAGGAGCAACUUCAAAAAAUAGGAAAAAUUGAGCAAAGGACCUGAAACAACAUAAAGCUUUAAAAAAUAGGAAAAGAUAUUGAAAACAGACGUCGUAAUUGUGAGAAAAAAAUAAGCAUAUCACCUAUCAAGCAGUGAUAGGACAUCAGAGUUUCAAUACCACGACAUUCCAUUGCAAUGAUAGAAAAAUGGACGAGAUUGAAUUUUUUUAAGGCGUAUAGUUGUGAUAAAAAAUUACGGUAUCACUAGAAUCAAGAGGCGCUAAAGCUUUAAGUUGCGUAGGGAGCUUUAAUCAUGCGCAGGAGUCAAAUGUGUGAAUUAAAUGCGAUAGAAUAAAUUCUGAUCGAUUGAUUAGGAAAUGCUCUCAAAUUUGAAAUGAAGUGCUUUAAAUUAUUUAAUGUAUGAAAAACAAUUUGAAAUAAAAUGAAUUUAUUGCGUGUUAAAAGGGUGAGAAGGUCAAACCUGUGAAUUAACUGCGUGGGAGGGAAAUUGCUAGGUUAGAUUUAGGGUUAGGGUUAGCUUGACCAGACAAACUUUAGUAAGUAAGAUUUGAUUUUUUUUAUUCAUUACAUAAAUGAUAUAUUUGGUUUAUAUUUUAGACAAGAUACAUCAAUUACUUAAUGAAUCUAAAAAGUUAAAUUUUUCUUAUAAAUAAAACCGGAAGAAGUACCAUGAACAAUAACAAUCUUUCACAGUAAUAUGUUUAGUGCCACGUGAGUCCUGUAUUUUCUAUGUUCUUGUAGGACGUAAAAAGGUUCAAAACUUUGUUUGUUGAGAGAGAAAAUAUGUGUUCCCAUUUAUGGGACAUUCUGAGUAUGAUUGGUGUUAUUGUUUGAUAGUGGGGAGGAGUGAUUGUCUUCUAACUUCUAAGUUCUAACAAUUAGGUUAGGGUUAAAUAUAAAUAAAAUAAAAUAAAUUCAAAGGGGUGGUUGGAUGAUUGGGGUGUGGUAUCCUCAUGGGGGUUGCACGUGAUGUCUCAAAUCACUAACCCGUAAUUAGUAAUUAGUGUUCACAUGAUUGGGUGCAUAAACCAUAUAGAUUCAAUAAUCAUAUUUAUUAGGGUAUAAGUCUUUCUUUGAUGUUGUUUGUAAGAGUUGUACUUCUUCGUUCGUCAGUUUAAUGUACUUUAUCGAUGAAUUUUUAUAGAAAUAUCAUCCGUAAAUUUAAAAGGAGAGGUAAGAACGGAAUACACAUUAUAACGCAUUCAUCAUUUUUUUGGAAAAGCUUAAUAAUCAUCGUUACAAAUACAUAGUCUGAUGCAAAUUUAUACAUGAUUUCUCCCGAAGAAAUAUCUAUCUAUACUAUAUAGUGGCAAGAUAGAUAAAUACACCAUUAUAUCAACACACAACAUUAUUUUUAUUCAUGAAAUAUAUUACUGAGAAAGAGUACAUGGUGCAUGAAGAUAGAUAUCAUUAUGAUCAGUUUUGAGUUUUGUCCUCAGUUUGCUCGGCACCGUGACCACCGUGACCACCUCCACCAUGUCCCCCGUGUCCACCUCCACCGUGGUUGUAACCACCUCCACCGUGGUGGUAACUACCUCCUCCAUGGUUGUAACUACCUCCACCAUGGUUGUAACCACCACCAUAUUUGGCAUCAUUUACUUCAUUAGUCUUUUCCUCAGUUUGCACGGCAACAGAUUCAGCAGCACCAUGACCACCGUGACCUCCUCCACCAUUGUAACCACCUCCACCGUGACCUCCGUGGCCUCCACCACCAUUGUAACCACCUCCGCCAUGGUUGUAACCACCUCCACCGUGGUUGUAACCACCUCCGCCGUGGUUGUAACCACCACCAUUGUAACCUCCUCCACCAUGGUUGUAGCCACCUCCACCGUUGUUGUAACCACCACCACCAUGGUUGUAACCACCUCCACCGUUGUUGUAACCACCACCGCCGUGGUUAUAACCUCCACCAUUAUAACCACCACCACCGUGGUUGUAACCUCCACCAUAGCCUCCAUAUUUGGCAUCGUUUACUUCAUUAGUCUUUUCAACAACUUCUGAAACACGAUAUAUAUGAAUUGUUAAAUCAUUACUUCAAAUAUAUAUGAAUUUAAUGGUAGUGGGUUGACGAUAUAAAAUAACUUUGUAUACAAGACUAAUCAAAAUAUUUCAAGUUUCCCUGCAAAUUAAAAAAUAUUAAUUGAUGUGGUGAUUCUAAAUAUUUUCAAUGGUUUUGUGUGCAAAAAUUUUUUGAACCAUCAACCAACCACCAUUAAACUUAAUAUAUAUAUAUAUAUAUAUAUGAUUAUGUAUUCACACCGGCGUAAUGUUUGAAUAAUUUUACAUUUCUCACAAACUUAUUGAAUAUAGAAUUAUACCAAAUUUAAAAAGACUCACAAUUGAAUAUAUAAUAUAAUUAUAUCAUAUUGAUCAUCUUUGUAAGUUAUGAAGCAAAUUUGAAAUCAUUUUAUAUAAAAUUGAGUGCAUGAAGAUUAACGUUUACAUAGAAAAGAAUUAAUUAUAACGUAUAAAAUUAUAUAAUUAAGUAUAAAAGAAUUAUCCUUCAAAAAAGUAGAAAAGAAUUAAAACAUAUAUCUAAAACGCUCAUGAAAACAUAUAUAAAGAAACAUAAUAUAAUAUAUAGCUCACCCUUUUUAGUAUCAGUGGAAGUUUCAGUUAAGUCCCUAGCGGACAUCACUGAGGAAAUAAGAGCCAUAGCCAAUAGGCCUAGCAUGAGGAUUGCCUUUUUCGAAUCCAUUGUUCAAAUGUGAUAUUUAGUAGUGAACGAUGAGAAAAACUAGUAAGAAGUGUACUCUAUAUAUAAUGGAGGGAAGGAGGGAGAUGUAGGGACCUUCACUUGGCAGUUGAGAAGGUAGCUCUUGUGUAUUAAUUCAUUACUUUGUAGGUUCAUAAUGUAUCUAGUCAUAUUAUAGAUCAGAUACAUUUCAUCAGCAAUUAUAUUGAUGAAACUUCUUCUUGUUCUUGUUCUUGUCGAAUGAGUCUUCAACUAUUGCUUCAUCUUCACCUCUCAUCAGCAAUUCCAACGAGCCUUCCACUUUUUCUUCCUUUUGAAAAUUCAUGAAGUCUUUUUAUUUUUCUUCUCUCAAAUAUAUUCUUUUACUUUUCACUUGAGAUUUUUAACAAUUGCUACUCAUCUUAUUUAUAGAAUUUUAACUCUUCUUAGAACCAUUGUCUAUAACAAAAUUUUGUUUAAAUUUGAAGAUAAUGAGAAACAAACUUUGUUUAAUAAAAAACUUUGUUCCAAAGAGAUAGCAUUAAUUUAGUUUUAUUGAAAAAGAUAAGAGUAAUUGAUAAAGGAUAUAAUUGAAAAAUCGUACGCUUAAAAUACCAAAAAGACAGUUAAAUAGUAACGAAAAAUUCAUCCAAAAAAGACACUUAAAAAGAAACGGAGGGAAUAGUAUUUCAUAUCUUAUUUAUGUAUUAACAAAAAAUAUAAAAUUUUGAUAUUUUAAAAAUAUUCGACAAAUACAAAAAUAUCUUAUAUAUUAUCAUUUGCCUAUAUAAUAUACGAUAGUAAAAAAAAGAUGAUUAAAGUAUGUUAGGUAAAUAAUGCAUUUAGUCACUUGUUUUAGAAUAGAGUAGUUGUAAAGAUUGAAGGCUAUGAAAAUGGAGAUGAGUUAUGUCUACUUGCUAUUGGCUGAAAGUGACAUUUUGAAAGCAUGCUAUUGGUUCAUACUAGCUAUCUCAUCCCAUGGAGAUACAUACAUUCAAACUUAUCCAGACACAUUCAUAAUAUGUUUUCUAUAACUAAACAAAAUUAGCAAAAGAGUAUUACAGAGGUAGACUCUAAACUUUUUAAAGAACAGUGAUGUUGAAUACUUGUUUGAGAAAGUCGUGUGUAGGCAUAAUCAUUUAGACACAAAGUUUAGGCACAUACACAUAAAUAAAUAAAAUUAAAAGAUAAAUAAAAUAGUUACAUCAAUCAAUAUCACUUUAAUUAUUUUCUUUUUAAUGUUUUAUUUCAUAGGUGUGUGCCUAAAUGUGAGAUGUUGGUCUUGUGAUCAAGUUAGAGUUUCUCAACUAGCUUUUACCGUCGUAUAAUUUUAUUUGCUUCAAACGAUUACACAAAUUAAGAAAGAAUCUAUGUUUCUCAACUAUAUUAAGAAAACGAGUUGUUAGAACUAAAAUAUCGAAAUAUAAAAUAUGAAUAAAUGCUUUCUUAAUUCAAAGAGCAAUGAUAUCGAAACAUAAACUUUGCAAUUUGGUUAUUAGUUGAAUAUAAUCCGGAUGUACGAUCUUGGAUCGACGGCUGAGAUUAUUUUUCCGUGUAAAAUUAAUUUUAUAAUUUGAAUAAUUGAAUCACAAAUCAAUGGUCAAGAUUCACUACAUCGUAAAACUGCGUGUUGUUUUUCCAGCAUGGAAUUUGGGUCCCUAUACUCCGAUUCAUCACAAUAAUGAAAUAGAACUAUAAAUAACCUAUCGUUACAGAGGUAAACACAAUUGACUGAACUACAUGCAUGAACAAAAACCAAGUCUUAUUUUCACGUGAUUUUUGUUUCUUUCAUACCGGUUGUGGUUCUAAAACCUUCCUAAUUGAUUCUUACAUCCACCCUUAGCUAAGAUUCUUAUUUGGGACUUGGGAGUGUCACUCCGAAAGUGAUACUAUUAGAGGACACAAUUGAAAAAAUAUAUAUCAUACUGAAAAUUUAAUGUGACAAUUAUUUUACGAUAACUAUUUACAUAUAUGUCACUCAUCGUUUAACGAAAUAUGGUAAUGAUUUUUCUAAACACCAAACAUUUUGUUAUGACAAUAAUAUUUUAGUUUUUAUUAAAUAAGUAACUUUUUUUACAAAGGAAAACUUAGGUGAGUUGGACUCCAAGCAUUAAAAAUAUAGUUACAAAGCACACAUAACUAAAAGAUCUUUAUAUUAACAACGGAGAUUGAACUUACGAUGAUGUCAAUCAACUCAUUAACAACUGAAUCAACAUUCGCUAACGACCACGACCCACGCCUUCCCCUCCCUUACUGUUCAACUGAAGUACUAUGUUGAAUUAAAUUGCCAGCAACAAACGAUAACGAGACUCACCCACUUAUUCGAGUUUUCCUUUUCCUUCAAUUCUAACAAAAUUUAUGCAUUUAAAUAUUUAAUGUUUCUUUGUUUUUUCCUAUAGAUACAAAUUUGCGGGUAUGAGCAUUUAAUGUUAAGCAAAAAUAUCGCCAAAUAACAUUGCAAUUUGUGAAAAAUAUCAUGAUUAACGAUCUACUCGUCCAUGGAUUAACGGCGGUAACAUUGUUGCUGGCUCCAUUAUUAGUAAUUAGUUCUAUGGUCGACUCAAAUGAUCUAAACUGUAAACUUAACUUCAAAUGUUUGCUAGAACUGCAAGACAGAAAAAGAAAGAAAAGAAAAACAUAUGUAACGUGAAAAUUGAAAGUAAGUUCCAGAUUGUAUGAUAAAAAGUAGAGUUGUUUGGUAAAGCCUAUAAUUAGUACCAUUGUUUUAUCAUAAAUUUAUUUUGAGAUAUUUUUUUCUUUUUUGCAUAAUUUUAUUAAAAUUGAGGUGUUGUAAAUAUUUUUAUGAUCUCUUACAUUUAUUAACGGUGGAUCAUUUGGAAAACAUCAAAAUUUCAAUUAUAGCUGCAUAAUUUUUAGUUAGACUUUCUUUACUUCCUGACCAUCAGGGGUGGGAAUAGGUUAGGCCGAGUUAGGCUUUGCAAGGCCUGAGCCUGAUCUGUCAAAUUUUAUGAAGGACUAAGUCUGGUCUGCGGUCUGUCAUAAACUUACUUUUUAGGUCUGAGUCUAACCUUCUGAAAGUUUGAUACGGUCUGCUAGCCUGUUUAAAAGCAUAUUUCAUAUAAACAUCUUUAAAUAAGCAAUGUUAUCUAAGUUUAAAUAGACUAACGAACUAAUAUAUCAAAUAGAUUAAACUCUCUUUUGAUAAUCAACAUGACUUUUUAGAGAAUUUGAUUAUAUAUUGUAUCAUAUUUCAAUUCUACUUUAUAAUAAUACAUUUAAAUAUGCAAAAAUAUAAUGUAUACUAAUAAACUUAAAUUACUAAAUUACUGAAAAAGUUAACAAAUUUUUAUUUUAAUUCAAAGUACAAAAUAUAAUAUAAUAAUAAAUAAUAUUAUUCAUAUUUAGGCUUAAUUACCUUUUUGAUCCUCUAACUAUUUAGUUGGUAUCAGAUUGAUCCUCUAACUAAAAAUUGAUUUAUUUCGGUCCUCUAAGUUUCUCACUGUUAUUACAUUUAGUCAUUUCUGUUAGUUUUAUUCAAAUAAACGUUAGAGUUUGUGUUAUGUGGGUAUCUGACCUCCUGUUUCACACAUACAUAUGAACCAUAACAGUUACCAAUAAUAUCAGUCACUAUUUAAUCAUAAUACCUUAACAAUGAAUAUGACCAAAAUGAUACUAAUAAAUAAAGUUAGAGGACCCAUAUAACACAAACCCCAACGUUUAUUUGAAUAAAACUAACAGAAAGGACUAAAUAUAGUUAUAGUGAGAAACUUAGAGGACCGAAAUAAAUCAAUUUUUAGUUAGAGGACUAAUCCGAUACCAAUUAAAUAGUUAGAGGACCAAAAAGAUAAUUUAGCCUCAUAUUUACUUAAAUAGUCCGGCCUAAUAGGCCUAAAAGGCUUUUAGAAUGACAUGUGGUCUGACCUUUUAAGCUAAAUGGGCUUCUAAAAAAGUCUAGGCCUUCUCUGUUUAGGAAAAAAGUAUGAUCUGGCCUAGCCUAUCGUAUGUAUGCUAGGUCGUAGGCCCCUGUAGGCUGGCCUGACCUAUUCCCAUCCCUACUGACCAUACUCGGAUCACUAAGAUAUUUUUCUCACAAAGAUAGAGAUAUAAGACCGAAAAACACAAUUACGUACACUUAUUCGUAAAACAAUCUUACGUACACUUGUUUGUAAAAUGAGAUCAACCAUGAUAAUAAACAUGUUUUAAUUUCAUAAACAUAUUUAACAUUUUUUUUUAUCACAUCAUUAAACUAUCAUAUAUUAAUUUAUUUAUUUUUUCAUCUUUAUUUUUAAAGCAUACUCCUUUCGUUUUAAAAUAUAAGUAAAUUUUACUUUUUAGGUUCAUUUAAAUAAUGAUGUAUAUGGUUUAUAAUAUGGGUCACAUACAUCAUUAAUUGAAUGAAUUUAAAAAGUAAAAUUUACUUAUAUUUUGAAACGAAGGGAGUAUACAAAAGAUUUUCCAAAUGAGAUAGAAAGAUUUUUCUUUUCAAAUGAAUGAUUGAUCCCAUAUUUAGAGAAGGGGCUAGUUGUUUCCUAUGCAACUAACAAAAUAGACCACUCAUCUGAUAACAAGGAAGUGAGAAGAAUUCACAGAACACUUGGAUAGGUCAUUCAAAAAAAAAAAAAACUAGCAUAAGUCAUUUGGUGCCGCCAUUCAAUUAAUUCAUUUCAUACCGACACUUUGACAAUAUUGAGGCAUCAAAUGCAAUCGUUUUUUAUUUUAUUUUCUAUGAUUAAAAUCGACAUUGUUUUUUGGUGAGAUUCGCAAGUGGCAAGCCACGUAACUGUACAAGUUCAACAUGCAUUUGACUUUAGCAAAACAAAUUUCAAUCUUAGAUUAGAUCACGUGUUUGUUUUCAUUUGUUAGAAUCCAUUUUUCUAGUGUAGUAUCCGUUUAAGAGGAAAUGAAUUUUUAAAGUGAAAAUCUCUCUAACUUUUCUCAAUUGUUAUAUUAAAAUCAUUAAACAUGAAAGAGAAAAAGAGAUAUAAAAUUAUAAAAAAAAAAAUAUUAAACUUAUGUUUUAGAUGUAAUAAUUGAGAAAAAUUAAAACCGUUUCAAUUUUUUUUUUAAAUGGCCAAAUAUUAUUAACCACUAAUAAGCUUGGGUGGUAAAAAAUACAAAGAUUUAUUUCCACAUUAAGAUGGUUGUAGGUUUUUGGGUAAAAUAUGUUUUAAUCAGUCUAAAUAUAUGUGCUUUCAAUUUUAGUCUUACAUAAUUUUAAUAGUAAUUGUAAUUGGUCCUUCAUGUCAAAUGGGUUGCUAUUUGAGGCUUUGAGCUAAAGGAAUUUGAGGGAUUCUUCCAUGCUCACAAGACCAAAUCAAUAGUGAUUGGACAUAAACGCAAAAAGAUGGUCUUUAAAAUAUUCAAUAUUUAAUUAUUCUUUUGGUCCCUUAACUUAUUUUUUGGUUUCGUUUUGGUACCUUAACUAUUAAAAGUUUUAUUUUGGUCCCUUAACUUAUUUUUUGCUUUCGUUUUGGUCCCUUAACUAUUAAAAGUUUCAUUUUGGUCCUUUAACUUACUUUUUGGUUUUGUUUUGGUCCCUUAACUCAUCCUCUGUCAACCACUUUGGUCUUUUAUAUUAGGAUGAAUGUAUUAGAGUUAAGGGACCAAAAUGAAACCAAAAAAUAAGUUAAGGGACCAAAACGAAACCAAAAAGUAAGUUAAAGGACCAAAACGAAAUUUUUAAUAGUUAAGGGACCAAAAUGAAACCAAAAAAUAAGUUAUGGGACUGAAACGAAACUUUUAAUAAUUAAGGAACCAAAACGAAACAAAAAAAUAAGUUAAGGGAUCAAAAGAGUAAUUAAGCCUUUUUUUUUUUUAUCAAUUUCCUCUUUAUUAUUAAAAAACUAUUCUUUUUGUUUGUGUGUCAAACACUUUUUAUUUGGUCAUGUGACCAUAUUAAAAUUUCUCAAGGAAUCAUGACUAGAUACGCCUCGUGGACAUUUUGAUUGACGUACGGUGUUGACUCGUGAAUAAACAUUAGACUCAAUUGUUAUUUCAUAUAUGUAUCAUCGAAAUUUUAGAGACAUUGUUUUAAAACUUACUCUGAUUCAUCAAUUUAUACUUUUUUAAUUUAAACUAUCAUAUGUUUAUUUUAAAAAAAAAUCAUGAAAUAAAAAAAUUAAAAAAAAUAAAAACUCAUGACCAUAUUCUCGAAUCCCAAGUUCCCAAUUUCUUCUACCUAAUUCCAUGAAUAAUAUGAGUGUUUCACAUAUAUGAGUUUGAUUAAUUUUUCACAGUAUUGGGUGUGAGGAAUUUUUCAAGCACUACCGACAAAAGAAAUAGAGAUCACUUCGUCGUUACUUUGCACAACAAUGUCUUAAUCAUUCUAAAAAAACACUCUUCAUAUCUUUAAAUUUAGGCAUUUUCAUGGAAAAGUGAUGUUUGUCUUUAGAAAGUGUACUAAAUUGUCGUUAAGUAGUAAAAUUUAUAAGUUAGUAUCGAUGUAGAUUGUGAAAUCUCAAUUUAACUACUACGAUAAUAGUUUGGAUAUAUACAAUUGGGGGGUGUUUCACUUGGCAAUGGUUGGAUUAACUGUUCUUUAAAGAAAAAGGUAAGACACUGAUUAGGUCAUGAUAGAUCUGCUUCUCUUAAUUACAUAGAAACUUGCCGCCUUGGUUGCAAUUGUUCGAAUAGUUUAGUUUCACGACAUUUGAUCAAAAUAGUUAAGUUAAUUUUUAGUUCACUAACCUUUUUCUCUUGUUACGACCCCCUAAUGUCUUAUGUGAAACUAUAUCAAUUGAAGGCUUGAUUAUAUGCCAAAUUAUUAUCACAAAGCAGUUAGCUCAAGCCCCGAAGCUAAGGUUAGUGGUCAUCGAGACCAAAAUUAGUUUAUGAACAUUCAUAAUCGUAUAAAAAAGCAUUAAGAACAAUUAUAGCUGAAUAAAACCAAGCAAUCAUUUGUAAUCAAAAAACUUUUAUGGUUCGGAUUUUGGGAUAAGGGAGAGAGAGAAAGUGAAAAGUUUAAAUGUAAAACUGUAAAAUGCGGGGAAGGAUGAUUUUUCUUAUAUAUAUCAAAACGAUUCAGAUUAUAUAAUCUGAACCAGUUUUCGUAUUAUUUUAAAUUUCAAAAUCUGAAGGGUAGUUUUAGAAUUUUUAUAUGGUGCGUGGGUAUCUCAUAUUGUAGGAAAAGUAAUAGUCCUAAAAUAUUAUUGGUAGAAAAAUGUAUUGGGCCAUGGGAAAAAAGUUGGACUUUAGUGAAAAGAGUAAUAGAUUGUAAUCAAUUUAAAAAGUAUAUUUAUUUAUUAAUUAAUUAUUCGGUUCAACCGGUUUAAUUAGUUGAACCAUAAACCGGAGUCUUACUGGUUUAAUCUUCGGUUUGGUUUUAAAAACAUUAAUAUAUAUAAUAAUAAUAAUAAUAAUAAUAAUAAUUGUACCAAAAAAAAUAAAUAAUAAUAAUAAUAAUAAAAGUAGUUUGACGACCCAAGAUGACCAAAGACUGACAACACCACCAAAAAGAAUCAAACAAAAAAAACACCAACAUAAAAAAUAAAAAUAAAAACAUCCCAAUGACCCAAACCAAAAGCAGAAUGGACCAGGUCAACUACACCAAAGAGAAAGAAACAUAGGCACCCAGACAAGCCCCCCAAAGCACCCAUACAAGCCCCCCACAUAGCAACUACCGGCUCAAGUAGAGAAUUGCUUCCACCACUCACUCAUAGUGAGGGCAAGGCGAACCAAGGUGGGACUUAUAAAAAAAACCAAUAACACAAAGAGAACUGGGUCUUCAGAACCAAUUCCUCCACAUCUAGAAUCUUACCGACAAACACAAAAUCAUUAAUGUAACAUGUGUCACAUUGCGUGAAUGUUGUAAAUUUUAAGUACUAAUUUUGCUUUCUAUUCAUAAAAAUUGUGACCUUUAACCGAAAAAUUGUGAUAUAUUAAAAAUAUGUAUUAAGAACAGGGCUGACCCAAGCUAUAGGCAAAUUAGGCAUUUGCUUAAGGCCUUGAUUUUUUUUAUUUUUUUUUUACCUAUUAUGCAUGGUACCAAUUUUUUUUAGCGAAUCUCAUAUUUAUUUAUGGUGAUAAAAAAUUUAAGAGAAAUAAUACAAGUUGUCGAAUGAUAUAGCGAUUGAUUUGCUUAAUUUUAUAGAAAGACUUGGUUUUUUUCCAGAUGUGUAUAUUGGUUAUAGAAUAUAAUGUUAACAAUUCAUAUAAUUGUUGUGUCUGCAAAUUUGAAUUUGUUUUACUGUCGAUUCAAAAAGAAUUGUUAAACUAAACCGAUUACAAUAAUUUUGCAUCCAAAAAAAAUCGAAAUCACUUUGAAUAAAAAUAUUAUUUUUGUAAAAAAAAUAUAUAAUUAAUAAUUUCUUUUUUGUACAAACCAUGCUCCAUUUUAGAUUUCGCGUUGAGCAUCAAUAUGUGUUGGAACGGUCCUGAUUAAAAAAGUUUUAUGCUAUGUAUUUUUUUACCAGUGAAUUAUAGAAAUCUCAUCCAUAAAUUUAAAAAGAGAGGUAAUAAGACAAGAUAACACAUUCAUCAUUUUUUGGAAAAGCUUAUCAUCAUUACAAAUACAUAGUCUGAUGCAAAUUUAUACAUGAUUUCUCCCGAAGAAAUAUCUAUCUAUACUAUAUAGUGGCAAGAUAGAUAAAUACACCAUUAUAUCAACACACAACAUUAUUUUUAUUCAUGAAAUAUAUUACUGAGAAAGAGUGCAUGGUGCAUGAAGAUAGAUAUCAUUAUGAUCAGUUUUGAGUUUUGUCCUCAGUUUGCUCGGCACCGUGACCACCGUGACCACCUCCACCGUGUCCUCCGUGUCCACCUCCACCGUGGUUGUAACCACCUCCACCGUGGUGGUAACUACCUCCUCCAUGGUUGUAACUACCUCCACCAUGGUUGUAACUUCCACCAUGG